CCUACGGGUGGCUGCAGUGGGGAAUAUUGGGCAAUGGGCGCAAGCCUGACCCAGCAACGCCGCGUGAAGGAAGAAGGCUUUCGGGUUGUAAACUUCUUUUCUGAGGGACGAAGAAAGUGACGGUACCUCAGGAAUAAGCCACGGCUAACUACGUGCCAGCAGCCGCGGUAAUACGUAGGUGGCAAGCGUUAUCCGGAUUUAUUGGGUGUAAAGGGCGUGUAGGCGGGAAAGCAAGUCAGAUGUGAAAACUCAGGGCUCAACCCCGGCGAGCCGUUGAAACUGGCUGUCUUGAGAUGUCGAGAGGUAUGCGGAAUGCGCAGUGUAGCGGUGAAAUGCUUAGAUAUUGCGCAGAACUCCGAUUGCGAAGGCAGCAUACCGGCGGCGAUCUGACGCUGAGGCACGAAAGCGUGGGUAUCGAACAGGAUUAGAUACCCCUGUAGUC
rnacentral:rRNA from 1 species